AUUGAACGCUGGCGGCAUGCCUUACACAUGCAAGUCGAACGGCAGCACGGGAGCAAUCCUGGUGGCGAGUGGCGAAUGGGUGAGUAAUAUAUCGGAACGUGCCCAGUCGUGGGGGAUAACGUAGCGAAAGCUACGCUAAUACCGCAUACGAUCUAUGGAUGAAAGCGGGGGAUCGCAAGACCUCGCGCGAUUGGAGCGGCCGAUAUCAGAUUAGGUAGUUGGUGAGGUAAAGGCUCACCAAGCCGACGAUCUGUAGCUGGUCUGAGAGGACGACCAGCCACACUGGGACUGAGACACGGCCCAGACUCCUACGGGAGGCAGCAGUGGGGAAUUUUGGACAAUGGGCGCAAGCCUGAUCCAGCAAUGCCGCGUGCAGGAUGAAGGCC
rnacentral:rRNA from 1 species